rnacentral:piRNA from 1 species
UGCCAAGACUGCUGUGGCCAGGAGGUG